AUUGAACGCUGGCGGCAGGCCUAACACAUGCAAGUCGAGCGGAUGAGUGGAGCUUGCUCCAUGAUUCAGCGGCGGACGGGUGAGUAAUGCCUAGGAAUCUGCCUGGUAGUGGGGGACAACGUUUCGAAAGGAACACUAAUACCGCAUACGUCCUACGGGAGAAAGUGGGGGAUCUUCGGACCUCACGCUAUCAGAUGAGCCUAGGUCGGAUUAGCUAGUUGGUGAGGUAAAGGCUCACCAAGGCGACGAUCCGUAACUGGUCUGAGAGGAUGAUCAGUAACACUGGAACUGAGACACGGUCCAGACUCCUACGGGAGGCAGCAGUGGGGAAUAUUGGACGAUGGGCGAAAGCCUGAUCCAGCCAUGCCGCGUGUGUGAAGAAGGUCUUCGGAUUGUAAAGCACUUUAAGUUGGGAGGAAGGGCAGUAAGUUAAUACCUUGCUGUUUUGACGUUACCAACAGAAUAAGCACCGGCUAACUUCGUGCCAGCCGCCGCCGUAACAC
rnacentral:rRNA from 1 species